UUCUUUUUAUCUAUUUUUAUAGUCUAUCAAUCUAUAAAUAACUCAUUUCUAGAAUUUAUUUGCAUUGCAAUUAGAUAAUAAUUUCUUGGUGCAGACACAUCAUUAACCACAUGGCAAUUGGUGACCAUUCAAUGCAAAGGAACGAAAAAAAAGAUCAAAUGAUGUACAUACAUAUGGAAAGAACAUUAGGAGAUGACUAUGAAGAGAUUUUAGGAGGACAAAGAAUUAAUGUGAUGAAGUACAAAUCGGGAUCAUCUAAAGGCUCAGCUGGCUUUGAUUCUCGCAUAUCGUCACUACAAAAAAUACAUGAUUUCAUGACUUGCUGAAAUUAACCAUAAGUAAUCUCUCUUAUAUGUAGAAUUUAUGUAUUUAGACGGCUUAAUUUUAUUU